CAGAGGGGGCAAGCGUUGUUCGGAAUUACUGGGCGUAAAGGGCGCGUAGGCGGCCCGCUAAGUCGAACGUGAAAUCCCCGAGCUCAACUCGGGAACUGCGUCCGAUACUGGCGGGCUUGAAUCCGGGAGAGGGAUGCGGAAUUCCAGGUGUAGCGGUGAAAUGCGUAGAUAUCUGGAGGAACACCGGUGGCGAAGGCGGCAUCCUGGACCGGCAUUGACGCUGAGGCGCGAAAGCUAGGGGAGCAAACGGGAUUAGAUACCCCGGUAGUCCUAGCCCUAAACGAUGAAUGCUUGGUGUGGCGGGUAUCGAUCCCUGCCGUGCCGAAGCUAACGCAUUAAGCAUUCCGCCUGGGGAGUACGGUCGCAAGGCUG
rnacentral:rRNA from 1 species